GCCUCCGUAGUUCAACGGAAAGAAUGCCCUGGUUCUAACUGGGAGAUGUGGGUUCGAUUCCUGCCGGGGGCACCA
rnacentral:tRNA from 1 species